GACCAAAAAAAAAAAUCUUCUCAUUCUCCUUCCGUAUUGUCGUUAAACGUUGACUGAUGACGAAGUCUCUCCACUGCAUUUUAUUUAAACUAAUCUCCAUUUAUAUUUCAUGCAGACAGCCGAUAAUGAUGAUGAUAUACUCAAUGGCCCAGUUGGCUUAAUGAUUAGAAAAAAAAUACAGUCGUUAUGGUGAAGAACAAGUGUAGGAUUCUUCUCACUCUUCUUCUUCUUCUUAUUCUCACCUUCAGCUCAGUGGCUUCUUCUCUGUACGGAACUCCCGAGGCCGGUGAAGCUCACCGAACCAAUGGGAGUUCGGGGUACGAAGAGGUUCGAGUCGGGUUGGUUAUGGAUAUGGCUUCCGUCGAGGGAAAGAUGGUCAGAAGCUCUGUUUCCAUGGCGCUGAAUGACUUCUACAGCACCAACAAUGGCUACAGAACAAGAGUCUCUCUCUCUGUUAGAGACUCCCGUGGAAAGCCCCUCCAAGCUCUUGCUUCAGCUCUAGAUCUCCUGGAAAAUGAAGAAGUGAAAGCAAUCAUUGGUGGGCAAUCAUUGCUCGAAGCAAAGCUUUUGGCUGAGCUCGGGGAGAAUGCUAAAGUUCCUGUGAUUUCGCUUCAUGCGCCUAUCUCGUUAUCGUUGAAGAAAUAUAGUCACUUUAUUCAAGCCACACAUGAUCCAGCAUCUGAAGCAAAGGGCAUUACCGCUUUCCUCCGACGUUUUGACUGGAGAAGUGUUGUUCUUAUCUACGAGGAUGAUGAUGAUUGGAGAGAGAGCAUGCAACCCUUGGUAGAACUCUUGCAAGAGAAUGCCAUCCACAUUGUGCAUAAGAUCGCUUUUGCAGUCUCGUCUGGGGAAGAUUACAUAACAGAAGAGCUGCAAAAGUUCAACUACUCAAGACCGAGUGUUUUUGCUGUGCAUGUGUCUGAACAUCUUGCCUCUCAUCUCUUCCCAUGUAUCGUGAGUUUAGGAAUGAUGGGAGAAGGUUAUGCCUGGAUCCUCACCGCAAAAAGCAUGAAUCUUUUCCAUUACAAGGAUGUUUUUGUGAAGGAGAUGAUGGACGGGGUGGUUGGUUUCAGGUCUUAUAUUCCAAUGUCAAAAGAUCUUUACGAUUUUACUAUGAGGUGGAGAAGGUCGUUACCCUUUGAAGAUGCUGGGGAAGAAAUAAAUGGGUUGAGCAUCUCUGGAAUAUGGGCGCAUGAUAUUGCUUGGAGCCUAGCGAGAGCAGCAGAGAUAUCGAGUUUGUCAGGUCCAAUAACCCAUGAUCAUGGUUCUAAUGUUACUGAAACUGGAGCAUCUUCAAAUACAUUGGCUCUUCUUAAGGCAAUUACACACAGUGACUUCAAGGGUUUGAGUGGCAACAUCCGGUUCAUCAAUGGAAAGCUUUCCGCAGAAAGGUACGAAAUAGUGAAUAUCAUAGGAACGGGUGAAAGAAGAGUGGGAUUCUGGACUUCUGGAAGUUUCAGCAAUAGAAGGCACUUGUCUUCUACCAAUGAGCUGGAGACCAUCAUCUGGCCCGGUGGAUCUUCUACAGCUCCAAAACGCUGUUGUCUAGCAGAUAGAGGGAAAAAAAAGCUCAGGGUUCUCGUUACCUCGAGCAACAAGUUUCCAGGACUGGUGGAGGUGCAUACUGAUCCAAUAGCAGGUAUCACGACGGCCAAGGGAUUUUGUAUAGAAGUUUUCGAGACUGCCAUUGCCUCUUUCAACUAUGAAGUGGAGUAUAUACCUUGGCGUAACGGAAGUAAUUACAACAAUCUUGCUUAUGCUGUCUAUAGCCAGAAAGACAAGUAUGAUGCUGCUGUCGGGGACAUCACAAUUACUGAUAACAGAUCUAUAUAUGUUGAUUUUACAUUACCGUUCACUGAGAUGGGUAUUGGAGUUGCGGCUGUGAAGGACAAAAGCAUGUGGAUUUUCUUUAGGCCUCUUACUCCAUGCCUUUGGCUAACCACUGCAGCUUUCUUCCUCUUGGUGGGGAGUAUAGUUUGGUUGAUAGAACGACCUGAUAAUACUGAGUUCCAGGGUUCAUGGUUCCAGCAGAUUGGAACAAUUGUCUGGUUCGGAUUCUCUACCCUUGUGUACGCUCACAGGGAGGGGCUGCAAAAGAACUUGUCAAAAUUUGUGGUUCUAGUUUGGGUCUUUGCAGUUCUUAUAUUGGCUUCAAACUAUACUGCAACAUUGACAUCAAUGAUGACAGUCCAACAGAUACGAUUUAGGUCAAGCCAGAAUUACGUCGGAUUCUUUUCUGGUUCACUUGUUGUAAAUGUUGUUUUGAUUAAUUCCACCUUCCAAGGUCAAAGAUACAGGUUACGUGCAUCAGACGAUUAUGCGAGUGCUUUGCGGAAUGGAACCGUCUCAUUUAUCAUUGAUGAGCUCCCUUACCUCAAGGUCAUACUUGGAGAAUAUCCCAAAGACUUAUACCUGGUAAAAAGAGAAACCAUUACCAACGGCUUUGGCUUUAUGUUCCAGAAAGGUUCUCAUUUGGCACAAAACGUGUCACAAGAAAUUGCGAAGCUGAGGAGAACUGGAAAGCUGAAAACCAUGGAAAACUGGUGGUUGGAAAGACAACCAGCCUCUACAGCAGAGGACACAUCUGACCCGCUCACCCUUUACAAGUUCCGCGGUUUGUUUAUUAUCACUGGAGUUUCUUUCGGUUUGGCCCUCACCUUGCUUCUAGCUCCCUGGCUCUCGAAGAAAUGGAAAGUCUUUACAAAAGCUCUCUACAUAUACACCGACUAUCAACUUGGGUCCUUGAGAAGACUUUGUGCAAGAGCUAUUCAUCCCGGAUCUCCGACCACCCCAAAUAUACACAACAGGGAACCCGAAAUCUCGGGCUAGAUGGAUGUGCUAACAAAGCCUUUGCUUUGGAUGUUUCCGGGAAAGAUAUUGGCCUGCAAAUUGGUGCUGGGAUCUAAAGUGGUCAUUGCUAAUUGUGGAAGUAAACUGUGAAGCCAAUACCACGACGUUCUUUUCUCUUUCUAUAAUGAACUGUUUCUCCAAGGCCUGGAGUGGCCAUGUGAAAUUGCAUAUUUGCAUUCUCCUAUUGCAGGUGCAUUCCUGUUUGACACUCAUCCUUUCUCAAUGUUUGACAGCUACGGGAGCAAGGGAGGAAAAGCUGAUCAUUGUGGACUUACCCAUCAGAGAAGCCGAGAAUGCAAAUGGGUUUCAUCUGUGGAACCAGGGAUGGUUAUAAUCUCUGUCUACUUUAGACAGUCGAAGCAUUUGUUCAGGGGUAUUGAAGCUCGAGAUUCUUCCUCGUUAUGCUAAGAUGGAAUUGCUUACAGGUCGGAUCAUUGAACUGUUAUUUUUCCUGAACCCAUUUGUCAAAGAUGGUCAUAUACAAGGCAGAGCUAAACUAAUAUAUAUUCCUAGCCGAAUAUUAUAACAUUCUGAGUGAAAGCCAAAGCUUGAUAGCAACGGGACAGGAGAAAGAGAAAAAGCUGACUAGUUCGACACAGCAGUUAACAUGGACUGAGUAAACGCCAUGUUUCCUUCUUCAAGGCUUCUAGCAUGCAAUAAUGGUGAUGAUAUCACCAUUGUCCUACACGAAAAACUUAACCUUUAUGGAGAAACAUAGGAUUCAUAACCGAAUUCUUCAGUCAUGUCUUCUUAUUUUUCUUCUUAUCUUUGGCUCACUGUCUCCUUUGUAUGGAAUUUCUGAAACUGGUGAAGCUCAUCAGAACGACAAUGUAAAUGGAACUUCGGCCCACGAAGAAGUUCGAGUUGGGUUGGUGUUGGACAUGGAUUCCAUGGAAGGAAAGAUCGUCAGAAGCUCCAUCUCAAUGGCGCUCUCAGAUUUCUACAAAGUUAACAGAGGAUACAGAACAA